AAGACUAUACCUUCAGGGAUCAUUUCUAUCGUUUGUUACUAGUAUCGUUUGUUACUGAACAUGUAGAGUACCUGAAACUAUGAGGAGAGGGUGCAGUGUUCCUUCCUGUGAAGCUCACUCUGGGUGUUGUCUUCGCAGCUGCCCUUGGUCAUUGAUAAUCGUUCUUCUCCUCCUUUGGGGGAGUAAGAGGGAAGAGACACUGAGUAGU
rnacentral:snoRNA from 1 species